rnacentral:rRNA from 1 species
GACGAACGCUGGCGGCGUGCUUAACACAUGCAAGUCGAGCGGUAAGGCCCUUUCGGGGUACGACGAGGACGGCGAACGGGUGUAGUAACGACGUGGGUGACCUGCCCGUCAGCUCUGGGAUAAGCCUCGGGAAACUGGGUCGUAAUACCGGACGUAAUGACUUCAUGACGCACUGGUUGUGGAGGUCGGAAAGCCUUGUGCGGCUUGAGGAUGGGCCCGCGGCCUAUCAGCUUGUUGGUGGGGUGAU